rnacentral:lncRNA from 1 species
GUGAUUCUCCACCACUUUAUGUAUCCAAAUCAAGCUUCUUACAAAGUGAUUAAUCCUGGCUUGAUUGGAACGACAAAGAAGCUGUCCUAUUCCCAAACUGCGAAGCUGGAAUCACCUGAUUUGAAAGUGGGAUAACUUCUUCAUCCCAGCUCUUAUGAGAUUUAUUCAACUUCCUAGUGAUUCUCCAAAACUUUAUGUAUCUAAAUCAGGCUUCUUACAAAAUGAUUCAUCCUGGUUUGAUUGGAACAACGAAGAUACUGUCCUAUUCCCAAACUGUGAAACUGGAAUCACCUGAUUUGAAUGUGGGAUAACUUCUUCAUCCCUGCUCCUAUGAGAUUUAUUCAACUUCCUGGUGAUUAUCCAACACUUUAUGUAUCCAAAUCAAGCUUCUUACAAAGUGAUUCAUCCUGGUUUAAUUGGAACGACGAAGAAGAUGUCCUAUUCCCAAACUGGGAAACUAGAAUCACCUGAUUUGAAAGUGGGAUAACUUCUUCAUCCCAACUCCGUGGAAUCACUUGAUUUGAAAGUGGGAUAACUUCUUUAUCCUAAGUCCUAUGAGAUUUAUUCAAAUUCCUGGUGAUUCUUCACCAAUUUAUGUAUCCAAAUCAAGAUUCUUACAAAGUUAUUCAUCCUGGUUUGAUUGGAAUGAUGAAGAAGUUGUUCUAUUCUCAAACUGCAAAACUGGAAUCACCUGAUUUGAAAGUGGGGUAACUUCUUCAUCCCAACUCCUAUGCGGUUUAUUCAACUUCCUGGUAAUUCUCCAACACUUUAUGUAUCCAAAUCAAGCUUCUUACAAACUUAUUCAUCCUGGUUUGAUUGCAACGACUAAGAAGCUGUCCUAUUCCCAAACUGCGAAACUGGAAAUACCUGAUUUGAAAGUGGGAUAACUUCUUCAUCCCAGCUCCUAUGUGAUUUAUUCAACUUCCUGGUGGUUCUCCACCACUUUAUGUAUCCAAAUCAAGAUUCUUACAAAGUGAUUCAUCCUGGUUUGAUUGGAACGACGAAGAAGCUGUCCUAUUCCCAAACUGGGAAACUGCAAUCUCAUGAUUUAAAAGUGGGAUAACUUCUUCUUGCCAACUCCUAUGAGGUUUAUUCAAGUUCCUGGUGAUUCUCCACCACUUUAUGUAUCCAAAUCAAGAUUCUCACAAAGUGAUUCAUCCUUGUUUGAUUGGAACGAUGAAGAAGCUGUGCUAUUCCCAAACUAGGAAACUGGAAUCACCUUAUUUGAAAGUGGGAUAACUUCUUCAUCCCAACUCCUAUGAGAUUUAUUCAACUUGCUGGUGAUUCUCCACCACUUUAUGUAUCCAAUUCAAGCUUCUCACAAAGUGAUUCAUCCUGGUUUGAUUGGAACGACGAAGAAGCUGUCCUAUUCCCAAACUGGGAAACUGGAAUCACCUUAAUUGAAAGUGGGAUAACUUCUUCAUCCCAACUCCUAUGAGAUUUAUUCAACUUCCUGGUGAUUCUCCACCAUUUUAUGUAUCGAAAUCAAGCUUCUGACAAAGUGAUUCAUCCUGGUUUUAUUGGAACGACGAAGAAGCUGUUCCCAAACUGGGAAUCUGGAAUCACAUGAUUUGAAAGUGGGAUAACUUCUUCAUCCCAACUCUUAUGAGAUUUAUUCAACUUCCUGAUGAUUCUCCACCACUUUAUGUAUCCAAAUCAAACUUCUCAUAAAGUAUUUCAUCCUGGUUUGAUUGGAACGACGAAGAAGCUGUGAUAUUCCACAACUGGGAAACUGGAAUCACCUGAUUUGAAAGUGGGAUAACUUCUUCAUCCCAACUCCUAUGAGAUUUAUUCAACUUGCUGGUGAUUCUCCACCACUUUAUGUAUCCAAAUCAAGCUUCUGACAAAGUGAUUAAUCCUAUUUUGAUUGGAACGACGAAGAAGCUGUGCUAUUCACAAACUGGGAAACUGGAAUCACUUUAAUUGAAAGUGGGAUAACUUCUUCAUCCCAACUCCUAUGAGAUUUAUUCAACUUCCUGGUGAUUCUCGACCACUUUAUCAAUCCAAUUCAAGCUUCUCACAAAGUGAUUCAUCCUGGUUUGCAUGGAACGACGAAGAAGCUGUCCUAUUCCCAAACUGGGAAACUGGAAUCACCUUAUUUGAAAGUGGGAAAACUUCUUCAUCCCAACUCCUAUGAGCUUUAUUCAAGUUCCUGGUGAUUCUCCACCACUUUAUGUAUCCAAAUCAAGCUUCACACAAAGUGAUUCUUCCUGGUUUGAUUGGAACGGAAGAAGCCGUGCUAUUCCCAAACUGGGAAACUGGAAUCACAUGAUUUGAAAGUGGGAUAACUUCUUGUUGCCAACUCCUAUGAGGUUUAUUCAAGUUCCUGGUGAUUCUCAACCACUUUAUGUAUGCAAAUCAAGCUUCUCACAAAUUGAUUCAUCCUUGUUUGAUUGGAACGACGAAGAAGCUGUGCUAUUCCCAAACUGGGAAACUGGAUUCACCUGAUUUGAAAGUGGGAUAACUUGUUCAUCCCAACUACUAUGAGAUUUAUUCAACUUCCAGGUGAUUCUCCACCACUUUAUGUAUCCAAAUAAAGCUUCUCACAAAGUGAUUCAUCCUGGUUUGAUUGGAACAACGAAGAAGCUGUCUUAUUCCCAAACUGGGAAACUGGAAUCACCUGAUUUGAAAGUGGGAUAACUUCUUCAUCCCAACUCCUAUGAGAUUUAUUCAACUUCAUGGUGAUUCUCCACCACUUUAUGUAUCGAAAUCAAGCUUCUGACAAUGUGAUUCAUCCUGGUUUGAUUGGAACGACGAAGAAGAUGUGCUAUUCCCAAACUGGGAAUCUGGAAUCACAUGAUUUGAAAGUGGGAUAACUUUUUCUUGCCAACUCCUAUGAGGUUUAUUCAAGUUCCUGGUGAUUCUCCACCACUUUAUGUAUCCAAAUAAAGCUUCUGACAAAGUGAUUAAUCCUGGUUUGAUUGGAACGACGAAGAAGCUCUGCUAUUACCAAACUGGGAAACUGGAAUCACAUGAUUUGAAAGUUGGAUAACUUCUUCUUGCGAACUCCUAUGAGAUUUAUUCAACUUCCUGGUGAUUAUCCACCACUUUAUGUAUCCAAUUCAAGCUUCUCACAAAGUGAUUCAUCCUGGUUUGAUUGGAACGACGAAGAAGCUGUGCUAUUCCCAAACAGGGAAACUGGAAUCACAUGAUUUGAAAGUUGGAUAACUUCUUCUUGCGAACUCCUAUGAGAUUUAUUCAACUUGCUGGUGAUUCUCCACCACUUUAUGUAUCGAAAUCAAGCUUCUGACAAAGUGAUUCAUCUUGGUUUGAUUGGAACGACGAAGAAGCUGUGCUAUUCCCAAACUGGGAAACUGGAAUCACCUGAUUUCAAAGUGGGAUAACUUCUUCAUCCCAACUCCUAUGAGAUUUAUUCAACUUCCUGGUGAUUCUCCACCACUUUAUGUAUCCAAUUCAAGCUUCUCACAAAGUGACUCAUCCUG